GUAAAUUAUAAUAAUAAGUCAAUUGAUUCUCAGGUAUUUUAAGAAUGAUGUCUGUACUUAAAAACAAGACAGAAAUUACAUUUCUUUGCACUGUAGUACAUUUAGCGCAUUAAGUUUAACUAAACUAAAAUGAGAAAAAAAUAUUUGUUCUUUUUUUUUACUUCCAUUAACAAUUAUUUUUAAUGGUUUAAGUUUUAGUUUUCUAUAAAAAUCUUUUUUUAUUAUCUGACUUGCAACUUACAUUCCAAAUUAUUUGUAUUUGUGCUGAAUGAGAGAUUUAUGUGAGCCCACGUUAAUUUCUAUAGGGCAUUUCAGUUCCAAUGAAUUAGUUUAGGAUUAGCAUUUAUAAUAAAUUAGGUUUUAGAAAAAUAGAAAAUGAAUUAUUUCAGCAAUUUUAUGAGUUGAAAUUUAGAGGUUAGGGUUCGGGACAGCCACCUCUAAAUUGAAAGGAGGUAUUUAUUUAUAUUAUGCAUAAUAAUAUUUUAAAUAUUAUUGUGGGUGUCGAUAGAUAAAAGACGGAUCUUGGUAAACAUCUGAGUUUUGAAUACUUAAAUGCUUUUUAAAGAUGUUCUUUGGUUGUGGGAGAGCAGUUUGCACAAAUUCUAUAGAAUGGCCCUUAUAUAACCCUACCUCUAAAUGAAAACAUAACUUACAUUUUUAUUAUUGUUAAAUUAAAUUACUUUAUGCAUGGCACGUUUGUUUACAAUAACAGAUCAACACGUGCCUGUAUGUUCACAAGGACACUCAUAAACGCACGCACACGGACUCAGUCGUCAAUUAUUAAACAAACAUGAUACUGUUCAGUGAGAGAAAGAGAUCACACAAGCCACAGCCAUUUCACACACACACACACACACAUCUGAUCCUGAACGUCGACACACUCCCACUGGAUAUUUCUCAGGAUUUUUCUGCAUCCUGAUGAUCUCUGACCAUCCCUGAUGGACUCAGCCGCUCCUCCGAACAUCCCUGAUGACCGAACUCAUCCAGGGCCUCCCGUCCUCCAGGAGGCUCAUGAUUCCUCCAGACAAAGAGAAGCCAUGACAUUACCCAGCGUUCCUGCAUACGACUCGGUCAGCAUCCUCACCGCUGGCCCACUGAAUGACACUGACAGCAUCCAAACAUCCCAUCAUGCAUACGACACGGACAGCAACCGCACCCUAAACCCAGCAUUCGACACGGACAGCACCCACACCCUGCACCCGCCGUACACGAGCCCCGCUGGAGGAGACGCCUCGACCAGCAGCGUCCCGGCCAACCCUCCUCCAUACAGCCCACCGGACCCCAAAGCUGUCUACGUCAUGUACCCACAGUACCCCAACCAGCCGGUCAUCGCCUGUCAGCCCGGAGCCAAUCUACCUGGAGCUUUCUACCAGCCCUCCUUCCUCCCGUCGUCCACUUACCCAUCCUACACUAUAUACAUGAACGGUCCGCCGCUGGGAGAGGAGCACCCUCCGUUACCUAAAGAUUACCUGGUCGAGUCUCUGCUGGUGACCAUCUUCUGCUGCCUCAUGAGCGGCCUCGUCGCGGUCAUGUACUCGUAUGAAGUGAGCACCUGA
ensembl:lncRNA